GGAAAAGAAACUAACAAGGAUUCCCCUAGUAACGGCGAGUGAAGAGGGAAGAGCCCAAGAUUGAAAGCUGGCGUCUUCGGCGUCCGCAUUGUAAUCUCAAGAAGUGUUUUCCGCUUCGGACCAAGCCUAAGUCCCUUGGAAAAGGGCAUCAUAGAGGGUGAUAAUCCCGUACAUGGCUUGGAGCGCCCGAAGCUUUGUGAUACGCUUUCUAAGAGUCGAGUUGUUUGGGAAUGCAGCUCAAAAUGGGUGGUAAAUGCCAUCUAAGGCUAAAUAUUGGGGAGAGACCGAUAGCGAACAAGUACAGUGAUGGAAAGAUGAAAAGAACUUUGAAAAGAGAGUUAAACAGUACGUGAAAUUGCCAAAAGGGAAGGGUAGGAGGUCAGAGAUGCGGCCUGGGAUUCAGCCUUGCUUUUGCUUGGUGUUUUUCCCAGAUUGCAGGCCAACGUCGGUUUUGGGCACUGGAGAAGGGUAGGAGGAACGUGGCACCUCUCGGGGUGUGUUAUAGCCUCCUACUGGAUACAGCGACCGAGACCGAGGACAGCAGCGUACUCGCAAGAGCGGGCCUUCGGGC
rnacentral:rRNA from 1 species